UGAAAGGUAAAAUAGGAAAAUUGGAAGGGUGUUUGGAUAAAGAUUGUAUUUGAUAGAAUUAGGGUUUGAUUUGGAUUCCUUAUGGGCCAUAGUUUAGAAAUAUUGUGAGGACCAUAUUCAUUGUACUGUGAAGACCAUCUUCACCACUCACAAAAAUGGCUUCGAUUCAUCACAAAGUUUUUGUUUGUAUUCGAUUCGACGGUCCAACCAACUUCUUGCUGUGGAACCCUACAUAACCCAAUCUUUAAACUUUCAAUUCAAUACUUCCAAUUCCCACCAUUAAAAUCUCCAGCUUUCCUCCUUGUAAACAAACACUGCUCAAACUGACACAUGUUUACAAUUUUGAUGAUGUUCCAACUCUUGUCUCUUUGUAUCAUUGGUGGGUAGGAGGGUUGUCCCCCAUCCCACCAUGCUUCCUGUCCUUUUCUUCAUUUCUCAAACCUCCACACAUUCACACAAACAAAUACUCUAUUUGAAUUUACUAAUGUAAGUAAGUAAACACACCAGCUCAAGGACUAAUCUAUAUUGAAAAAUUACAGGACACAUUGAGAUCAAGCCCAGCAGAAAACAAAGCAAUGAAGAAGGCAAGUUUUGUAGGCAUCACAACCACUAGUCUUUUUUACAUACUAUGUGGUUGUGUUGGAUAUGCAGCAUUCGGAAACGAUGCACCUGGAAAUUUCCUUACUGGCUUCGGCUUCUACGAGCCCUUUUGGCUCAUUGACUUUGCUAAUGUCUGCAUUGUUGUCCACCUAAUUGGUGCUUACCAGGUGAAACCACUCGACCACAUUCUCAAUUAUACAACGGGGUAUUUUGUUUAACAACCAAAUUCAGGGGGUCCCACUCGUAAAAUAAGAAAACCCUGUUGCAAACGGUUAUGGAAAUGUAUAUAUCAUAUGUAGGGAUUUUCAAUGCACCAUCGAUUUAUGGAUUUGUGCCUCUGGAAUCUAUGAUCGACGAUGGCAUCGAAAUUAACUACAUUUUAUACAUUUUUGAACUCCCACACGAAUGCCAUCAUUUAGGCUUGGCUUAAUCUUGCUACUCCUAUUAGCUUAUGUUCUAAGUUUUCAAAAUGAAUACUAUAUAACAUGCAGGUCUUCUGCCAACCAUUUUAUGGGUUUGUGGAAAAAUGGUGCAACAAAAAGUGGCCAGAAAGCACAUUCAUAACAACAGAGCACACCAUCAACUUACCUUUCAAUGGAGAGUAUCAGCUCAACUACUUCAGAUUGAUUUGGAGGACGAUAUAUGUUAUAUUGACGGCUGUGGUAGCUAUGAUAUUCCCAUUCUUCAAUGAUUUCCUUGGAUUGAUUGGGGCAGCUUCAUUUUGGCCAUUGACUGUAUACUUCCCCGUAG
rnacentral:lncRNA from 1 species